rnacentral:lncRNA from 1 species
GUAUGUCCUAAGGUGUUCUUAAGGAAGUUUCGGGUACUUACCUUUUCUCCGACGUUGCCAAUAACCUGUUCGAGAGGGUGAUCUUUGAUUGUCCUCCAUUCGUUUGGCAUUUUAGUUUCUUUCUCCAAUUGUGGCGCUUCCUCCGUUGGUGGUUUCAAAAUUUCGUCUUGAGUUUCCUUAGGCGUUUCCUCUUGUAUUUUGUCUUUCAAGCUAU